ACGUAAUACAAAAUGUUCGAAACGGAAACAGGUACAUAGGUAUCAAACAAAACAAUCUAAAUUAUAAAAUAUGAAAAAUAGAGAUAGAGUACCUACAAUAAGUAUAUAAAGAGUUUAUAAAAACUACAAAAUACGCCAUGUACCAAUACUUUAAUUAGACGCAUGCGCCUUUAAUACAACGCGAAGUGAGGCACGCCACAGCUGUUACAAUUUCGCUUGCGUUCGAGGUGAGCUGCCAGACUUGUCGGCGGGUCGUGAGAGAUCGGUUCUCGGUUGCUUUAAAUAUUAUAGUGCCGUAGCUCACUUACGAAAAAACGUCUGCAGCUUGUUAUAUAAAACAAGAAAAACUCUGUUAAGUUGGCAUGCCUCGGCUGAAUGGUGGCUCUUACUCGUCCCUGGACCAAGUUUACAAGGGUACAACAAUACCCAACAAAAAAGAAGAUUUUAAGAAAAUACUUCGGUUUGGGGGUGCUACGAAGAAAUUUGAGCCUUUGUUUCAUAAGAACUCUUCAGAUAUGAAAGUUGUUUUGACUGAAGAGGCCACUAUAGAAGAAGCCACAGCCAAGCCUGACAAAAUGCCUAUCAAUGCUGAAGAAGCUGCACUUUUGGGUGUAUUGUCCGUGGACAGCAUGGACGACAUCGAGCUGAAGAACAUCCAGCUGCAAUUUCCUAGUGGACGGCGGUUUAGCGGCGACGGGUGCUCGGAGGUGCGCGUGCGCACCGACCGCGGGGACCUCGUCGUGGCCGUCCAGGGAGACCGCGCCAAGCCUGCCAUCCUUACCUACCAUGACCUGGGGCUCAAUUACAUCUGUUUCCAACCGUUCUUCAACUUCGUGGACAUGCGCGCUCUGCUGGAGAACUUCUGCGUGUACCAUGUGAACGCGCCUGGCCAGGAGGAGGGAGCGCCCAGUCUGCCCGAGGAUUACAUCUACCCGACGAUGGACGAGCUGGCCAAUCAGCUCAACUUCGUGCUGGGACACUUCGGCAUAAAGACCUUCAUCGGGUUCGGCGUGGGCGCCGGCGCUAACAUCCUCGCGAGAUUCGCUCUCGUCCAUCCGCAAAAGGUGGAUGCUCUGGCGCUGAUCAACUGCACCUCCAGCCAGGCCGGCUGGAUCGAGUGGGCCUACCAGAAGAUAAAUAGCCGCUCGCUGCGCUCCCGCGGGAUGACCCAGGCCGUGCUCGACUAUCUCAUGUGGCACCACUUCGGAAGGUACCCGGAGGAGCGCAACCACGACCUGACCCAAAUGUACCGCAUGUACUUCACGCGCAACGUGAACCCGACCAACUUGUCCAUGCUGAUCGACUCGUACGUGCGCCGCACCGACCUGGGCAUCACCCGCGACGCUGACUCCAUCAAAGUCCCUGUGCUGAACAUCACCGGCGCCCUUUCCCCCCACGUUGAGGACACGGUUACUUUCAACGGCCGCCUCAACCCGUCCAAGGCUACUUGGAUGAAGAUUUCUGAUUGCGGCAUGGUCCUGGAAGAGCAACCAGGCAAGAUAUCCGAGGCCUUCCGCCUGUUUCUGCAGGGCGAGGGAUACGCAUGUAGUCCGCAUGCCGGCGGCCGUCCGUCUCUCUAAGCCUCGUAUACUAAUGCGAACCGCUACUCGUCUCAACCCCAGUUUUUUUAUUUUCCCCGUUAUGUUUGAGCCUGGAUAUGCCUUACGUUACGCGGCAACCCAUUAUGACAUGUGGCACCCUUGUCGCCGACAAAGAUCGUGGCGUUCCGUCGGCUGUCGGACUCUCAGCGCCGUCGCUCGUGCCGCUUGUCUCCCGUCAUCCGCAUCACCGAAAACCCCAUCUCGGAGGCAGUCGUCUGCUAAACACUUCAUUUAAAACGGGCGCGCGCGAUUUCUGCGGGACGAAUUUUAAUUUUUUUAGGUUGUCUUAUAAAUUGGGAUUUCAAUGUACUAGCCUGUAGCUUAUCCAUAGUCAGUAAAACUAAAACUGGUGUCGUGUAUGUACUUAUUGUAUGUGUAGCCUUUGUUGUAAACUAAAUUAAGCCAAUUCAAAUUUAUUUUUAUCUGUGCGCUCGACGAGUUAAUUUUUUUUUCUAUGGUUAAAAGCGUGUAAAUUAGUUGAUUUGUAUAAAUUUUACGACACUCAAAAAUGUGGUUUUGAAUAUGGAUAAUGCUGCAGAUUAUCUAUAGCGUUGCAGUCCCGAUUUAUAUCAGAUUAUUUCCUUAUUUUGUUAACUGUUUACAUUUCAUUAUUGCUAUAAUUAACAAUUACAUCGCACAUGUCUUUUCACAUAAAUGCAAAUCGUCCCGCAUAUAACAAUCCCACCAGAACCUGCUUCUCAAACAAGUUAUUGUAUUAUUAAGACUGGCGUAUAUGGCAGUGUGAUCGGGGGCGAUUCAUAAUUAGUUCAAGGUAUUAUAAAUUAAAAAGAAAUACAACAUUUAAAAAAUUUGAAUCGUUGCACUGACGGAGAAUUCUUGAACACAUAAAAAAUAUGUACAUUAUGUACGUAUAUGGUAUAAUUUAUAUAGAACAUUUUCUACUGUUUGUGUCCUAGGUGAGAGACAAAACGAAAAAUCAAAUAACGAAUUUAUUUCUAUGCAUUUCUUUUUAUAUAUUUUUUUUUAAUUUAAAAGUUGACAAUAAAUUAUGGUUCUUUUUAAAAAAACUUCGUUUACAACAAUAAAUAUAUUUUUGUGUCAUGAAUUGUCCAAAACGUUUAGCAUGGCUGAACAUAUAUUGGCUGGUUGCAUUCCAUUGCACUGUCGGUAAGCCAAUCUUAGGUAGAAUGGAAUUAGGACAUACGGACAAACGGAACCAAAGAUUUAUUAUUACAUAAGUGUACAUAUCGCGAAGGAAGGCUGUUGGAAGCAGGUCCGCGCGCGCCGUCCGCGCCUGGUAGUUAGGUCCCACACGCCAGUGAGAAGCACUGUUGACGUUAUUAUACCUAUAUCAUUAUAUAAUUUUAAGGAAACUUUACUAGUACCCACUAUACAUUAUAUACUAUAGAUUAGUUGUGUUAGGCUAUCGUCACAUUUAUUACGAAUUGGGGAUUGCGACUGCGGUGAGAGCGGGGUUUUUUGUAACUAGAAAUUACAUUGGAAGCUGUGUGGUUCCCAUGUUGGACGGGUCGCCACGUGUGUGGUAUUGGACAAAAAAUACUUAUUACUGUUUUGACUUUAGUAAUAGUAACCGAAUAUUUAAACAACUUAAAAAGUUUACUUAAAAGGCAGGAUAACGAAAUAGACAGCUGAAAUCCUGGCCUGCUGCCUGCCUGUGCAAGCCUGUUCUACUGGUUCUAUGAUAGCAGAUAUUUAUUUUUCGCCUGUAAUAGUAACAAAUAUACUUGUAACAAAAGUCAAAGGUGCCCGUCGAUCCGGAACCACACGUGGGCGUCGUUGGGUGCUAUGUUAAGACCAAGAUAGUUUUUCAAAAAAAAAAAGAUCGUGUAACGAAAAGUCUUUUAGACAUAUUUUGCAAAUGUACGUUUCUUUAUUAAAAUGAAUUUAAUUGAUGACUUCUAAUAUCUAUAGCCCUAGUAUUUGUAAACAGUCCUAUAUUUAUUCGAUUUCUUAUUACAAUUUUGAACAAAGGCCUAUGUUGAUGUACCGAAGCGUUGUGACCGAUUUUUAUGUAUUUGUUAUUGUGAUAACCUUUUGUUAUUUUUAUGUAUUGUGUUUAAUUUAUUCAUAAGUAUAAUUUCGUAAUUAUUUUUGUCACUGUGAUCAUUGAGUAUUAUGUAUGAGUUAAGUACAUAUUUUUGUUUAGAGUAGUAAAUAAUUUAUUUUUAUAGUAAUGUAAGUAAAUACAUUUCACCGCUUUUAGUCGUGAAGCCGAAUAGAACAAUAUCCACUUUACGCAGUGGCUUGUGGAGCUGAGACUGGCUCCGAUGUCAGUGUAGAUGUUUACACGCUGUAUAAAUACACCUGUCUCCAUCUACACUAUCCGUCCCACUGUUUAGUUCCAGAAUCUCACACUUAUUUUCUCCUCGGUUUAAGCGGUUACAAUGAAAUUGUAUUAUGAGCUAUGCUAGUAGGUAAUAAGGAACAUAUGUAAAGAUGUUAUUAAUAUAAGCUUGGAAGAAUGUAUUGCGCGGAGUAUUUUUGAUGCAAUCAAAGAAAUAUUUUUCUGUUUUUACUUUUUAAUAAUAAUUUUGAAAUAACAAUAACCGGCACUAUACAAUAUAGGGCGUAAUCGGCGGUGAAAAUAGUUUGCAUCGAAAAUACACGUCGAAUUUGUAAUGGCUUAUCUUUGAAUAAAUGUAUUAACCGCGUAAAUUGUAGGAACUAUACUCUUAUAGACCCUUCAUACAACAGUGCGAGUUUCCUGGUAGUUCUGUUUAAUGGUGUAUCGAUGUUAAGGUAUCGGAGUUUACAUACUUAGAAUAGAUGUUUUGAUCUGUAGUUGGAUCUGAGUAGAGGACUGUUCGUUCCAACCUUAGAAAAUUACAUGUACGACGCGCGCAUGCGCAGCUCUUAUUGGCCAGACCGGACGUCACGUAGUUCAAGUCAAAUCAAAUUUCAAUAUCAAAUGUCGUACAUUUAAAAUUCUCAAGAUGCUAUUAUAUGCUUUGUAGAAGAAUAUUAAUACAUAUAUAUUUUCUAGAAUUAACAUUUUAACGAGAUCAAAAGAAAACUUUGUUUUGUAGUGUUCGAUAUCUGGACUUAUUUCGAUUAACUUGUGUGAGUUUCAAAUAUGGGUCUAUUAAAAGGUGAUUUUUUAAUUG